rnacentral:lncRNA from 1 species
AGGAAACAGAUGGCCAAGGAGGACUCAAGGUAAUGUUUCUGUCACAUACCCACACCAGAGCAUGUCAGUCUUUUUGAGGAUUGAACAGAGUCUCCAUAGCAGACAGGACAUUAAAUUCGGUGACCGUGCUAUGAAAAUAUGCAAAGAUAAUGAAAGUUGAGCUAAGACCAGUCUGAAAGCUACAGUUACAGCAACAGAAAAGUAAUUAACGUUCUGUAUAUUUGGGAGAGUGGUUUCGUCGGCUCUUCCUAACUAAAUCCCUAAGCUAUUGAGUUACGUGGCAUUCUCUCCCAUGACUUCCUGAAUCAACUUCUUGAGGAAUGUGUGAUGACUGAGGACUAGGUGCGUCUUUACAUCAUUCCAAGAGUUCAGCUUUCUUCUGCCCAGGACUAGUUUUUCACUGGAAGAAACUAAAGUAGGAAACUCUAAAUUCUUAGGUAAUACAAAUGAUGACUACUGAGACUUUCAGAAUUCCAACAUUCUGCUUUUCAGUUCAAAUUGUAUAUUCAGUUCUAGCAAAGCAUUUCUUUUAUGGAGAUAUAAAUAAAAGACUUUUGUCAUGUGAA